GUCCCUGUUGUACAAUGGAUAGCGCAUUUGACUUCUAAUCUAAAGGUAGUGGGAUCGAAUCCCACCUGGGAUG